CAGAUCAUUUCUAUAGUUGAGGUUUCAUUUACGCUGAAUUUUAUGCCGUGCGAUUCGGUAUGGUCUGA
rnacentral:tRNA from 1 species